ACGUGUCUGAACUGUGAAGGCGGAAGCGGGGACGAGGUCGCUCGGGUAGGAGUUGGCGAGGUGCGGCUGGCUGCUGGGCGUGCGCACGCGCAAUCCGCGCAGUGGGCGGGCCAGAUUGCGUCUGGAGCCGGGAGACCAUUGCUAGAGAGAUUUGAUUGAAAGUUAAACAUCAGAGGAAUGGACUUCAUAAACAAAAACUGUGGCCCCCAGUUCUACAAGGAUCAAGCCAUUUGCUACUGCAGUCACCCAACAACAGUGCACCCUGAGGGGAAUUCAGGAUGGAGAAGAAACAAUAUGCUGUGCUUUGGAGCCUGGCCCUGGAUAGUUAAGAUGCAUAUCUAAGGAAUAAUUUCACUGAACUCAGAUGCUUGCAUCCACUCAUACAUAGAGAUGUCUGUUCUUUGUGAUUAGCAGUAACCUUUUGAUAUUGGCCUAGCUAUUUUGCUCCAGCCAAAAAACUCAUAUACAUCCUGUCUCCUCCCUUACCUCUUGAGACCGGUUCUUCAGAGCUGAGAGGGGGUUUUUCUAUGCUAUGUUCCUCAGUAAGGUCCUUGAAUAAAACUUAAAACUUC